GACGAACGCUGGCGGCGUGCCUAAUACAUGCAAGUAGAACGCAGUUGCGAACGGGUGAGUAACGCGUAGGUAACUGCCUGGUAGCGGGGGAUAACUAUUGGAAACGAUAGCUAAUACCGCAUACUACCAGAUGGACCUGCGUUGUAUUAGCUAGUUGGUGGGGUAACGGCUCACCAAGGCAACGAUACAUCGCCGACCUGAGAGGGGGGUCCGGCCCAACUGGACUGAGACACGGCUCAGGCUCCGUCGGGAGGCAGCAGGAAGGAAUCUUCGGCAAAGGACGGAAGGCCUGCCGAGCAACGCCGGGGGAGUGAAGAAGGGUUUCGGAUCGUAAAGCUCUGUUGUAAGAGAAGCGGUAUCUUACCAGAAAGGGACGGCUAACUACGUGCCAGCAGCCGCGGUAAUUC
rnacentral:rRNA from 1 species